UAACGCGUGAGUAACCUGCCUCUAAGAGGGGAAUAACAUUCUGAAAAGAAUGCUAAUACCGCAUAACAUAUAUUUAUCGCAUGGUAGAUAUAUCAAAGAUUUAUCGCUUAGAGAUGGACCCGCGUCUGAUUAGCUAGUUGGUAAGGUAACGGCUUACCAAGGCGACGAUCAGUAGCCGACCUGAGAGGGUGACCGGCCACAUUGGGACUGAGACACGGCCAA
rnacentral:rRNA from 1 species